rnacentral:misc_RNA from 1 species
AAAGUCGUAACAAGGUCUCCGUAGGUGAACCUGCGGAGGGAUCAUUAACGAGUUAGGGCUCACCGGCCCGACCUCCCAACCCUUUGUCUACUUGACCAUCGUUGCUUCGGCGAGCCCGUCCUCGCGGACCGCCGGAGGGACCCUUACCGGCCCUCUGGCCCGCGCUCGUCGACGGCCCCCAACUUUAAAACCUUAACUAAACGUGUCUUGAAUCUAAGUAUUAUUGUUAAAUAAAAACAAAACUUUCAACAACGGAUCUCUUGGUUCUG